rnacentral:rRNA from 1 species
UUAUUGGGCGUAAGGGCUCGCAGGCGGUUUCUUAAGUCUGAUGUGAAAGCCCCCGGCUCAACCGGGGAGGGUCAUUGGAAACUGGGAAACUUGAGUGCAGAAGAGGAGAGUGGAAUUCCACGUGUAGCGGUGAAAUGCGUAGAGAUGUGGAGGAACACCAGUGGCGAAGGCGACUCUCUGGUCUGUAACUGACGCUGAGGAGCGAAAGCGUGGGGAGCGAACAGGAUUAGAUACCCUGGUAGUCCACGCCGUAAACGAUGAGUGCUAAGUGUUAGGGGGUUUCCGCCCCUUAGUGCUGCAGCUAACGCAUUAAGCACUCCGCCUGGGGAGUACGGUCGCAAGACUGAAACUCAAAGGAAUUGACGGGGGCCCGCACAAGCGGUGGAGCAUGUGGUUUAAUUCGAAGCAACGCGAAGAACCUUACCAGGUCUUGACAUCCUCUGACAACCCUAGAGAUAGGGCUUUCCCUUCGGGGACAGAGUGACAGGUGGUGCAUGGUUGUCGUCAGCUCGUGUCGUGAGAUGUUGGGUUAAGUCCCGCAACGAGCGCAACCCUUGAUCUUAGUUGCCAGCAUUCAGUUGGGCACUCUAAGGUGACUGCCGGUGACAAACCGGAGGAAGGUGGGGAUGACGUCAAAUCAUCAUGCCCCUUAUGACCUGGGCUACACACGUGCUACAAUGGACAGAACAAAGGGCUGCAAGACCGCAAGGUUUAGCCAAUCCCAUAAAUCUGUUCU